UUGUUGCUAAAUUGUUUGAGUAUCAAGUUUUUCAAUUUGUCUGUACAAUAAAAAUGUUUCACCACUUUGGUUGAAAAUUUAAAUGCUUUUUAACCCAAAGAGUUUAACCAGAAAACCAGUUUUUUAGACUUGGGUAUUAAUAAAUGGUAACGUAUCAAAACAAAUGAAACCAGUGUAAGUGUAAAUGGCUGUUAUGAACAUUUCAAAUCAUUACAGUCUUCAUCCUUUCAAAGACAUAUUCAUGAUAAAUUGGUUUGACUAUUAAAACUGGAAAACAAACAUUUCUGGAGAUCAUCUUUACCUCUGGUCAAUCUGUUUCCUCUCUCAUCAAAGUAUAUCUCAGUGUGUAGAGUCACAGAAUAGGAAAUAAAUUUCAGAUUCCCUGAUCUCUAGUCCCUGGUGAAACACUUACUUAUACAAUUUUUUAGAAAACAUUCUUUCCUGUUUUCUUGGAUUCCCUGUUAACUACUGUAAAGGUAAUUGUAAACAUACUUGAGAGGUUGUCCUUCAAUUGAUUGUAUUUGUAAUUUACUCCAAUUAUCAUUGGUAAAAGUUAUCAGAGGCUAUUUUUACGGAUUUGAAAUAUAAAUGAUUCAGGUUGAAUCUCGAUAUCAUUUGCAUCAUUUGCUGAGGUUUCCCUGGUUAUUUCACCAAUCUCGGAAUUCAUCUUCAAAGGUAAAAUGCCAAUUGAUGAUUGAAUUUCAUUUAUAUUGGUUUCCAAAUGAUAGACAACUCAAAAGAUGAAACAUGAAAAGAUGGAAAUUUCAUCGCAAGAAUUAGUAAUUACGGGUUUGCUCAUCAACCUAUGAUUGUCUCUCCAAAUCAAUAUCAAAAUCAUUGAUUAUUAACAGUUGCAUUCCCUUAAAUUGAAGUGAAACAUUUUUUCAAUGUAAUUCAAUCUAUUUCAGUGAUGAUAGGAAUUUCAAUAUUUAUUGAUGUAAUUUCAGGAACAGUUCAGUCAUUUCAGUUGACACACAUGAUCAAAACUGUUGAUUACAGGCUUUAACCUUUUCUAAUAACACAAAAUUAUAUCAACAUUGAGAGCCAUAGAAACAGCAACAGUUAUAAUCAACUGUUCAUUACAUCGGUUAUACAAAGCGCUCAGCCUUUCUACCUUGCGUAUUGUCACUGAUUAAUUGGCACAAUUAUAACCAUCAGGGAUUGGUUACAAUGGGCAAGUUAAUUGGAAAGUCAAUAUUAGUUAAUUGUCAUUAGAGCACAUUUAAUAACAGGUAAGAUAAUAAUCACGGAAACAAAUUUUAUAAUCCAUUGAAAUUAAAUUGGGUUCCCUGGUUGAGCAACAAAAUGGCUUUCACUUGUUUUUUAAUGUUAAUAGCUUGUCAUCAUAAUGGGCUAAUUAAA